rnacentral:rRNA from 1 species
GGGGGGGGGGGGGGGGGGGGCGGGGAGGGGCGGGGCGAGCGGAGGGGGUCUGGGGGGUGCGCGGGGAAAACUUAGCGGCGAACGGGGGAGGAACACGUAAAGAACCUGCCUCAUAGACUGGGACAACUAUUGGAAACGAUAGCUAAUACCGGAUAACAGUAUCUCUCGCAUGAGCGAUAGUUAAAAGUUGGUUAUGCUAACACUAUGAGCUGGCUUGGCGGUGCAUUAGCUAGUUGGUGGGGUAAAGGCCCACCAAGGCGACGAUGCAUAGCCGACCUGAGAGGGUGAUCGGCCACACUGGGACUGAGACACGGCCCAGACUCCUACGGGAGGCAGCAGUAGGGAAUCUUCCGCAAUGGGCGAAAGCCUGACGGAGCAACGCCGCGUGAGUGAAGAAGGAUUUCGGUUCGUAAAGCUCUGUUGUUAGGGAAGAAUGGAUAUGUAGUAACUAUACAUGUAAGAGACGGUACCUAACCAGAAAGCCACGGCUAACUACGUG